UCUUCUUUUGUCGAAAGACCAGAUCGGCCAAGUUAGCCUUCUUUGGUUCUGUCGUUUAAUUUUGGAAGUAGAAGGACAGUCCGAGUACAGUGGUUUUGACUCGAUGAGCUCCGUCCUCAAAAUCCGCAGACCUAUUUCUUCUGCACUCCUCUGGCACUCUCUGCGUCGAUUCUCCACAGCCUUGACAUAUGCUUCGGAAGAGAUCAAAGCAGAAGCUUCAACGCCGGAACACCCUACCUUAAUUCACCCCUCGGCUAUUGUUCAUCCACAUGCUGUGAUUGGCCAGGGUGUUUCGAUUGGUCCAUUCUGCACCGUCGGAUCAUCUGCCAAGCUUGGGAAUGGUUGUCAAUUGUAUCCUGGUACCCAUGUUUUUGGAAAUACAGAAUUAGGGGAGCGGUGUAUUUUGAGGACUGGUGCUGUGGUUGGUGAUGAUCUUCCUGGGCAGACUGUUAUAGGGAAUAAUAAUAUAAUUGGUCAUCAUGCCGUAGUUGGUGUUAAAUGUCAAGAUAUGAAAUACAAGCCAGGAGAUGAGUGUUUUCUUGAAAUUGGUGACAACAACGAAAUCAGAGAGCACACCUCAAUUCACCGAUCUUCAAAGUCAAGUGAUAGAACAAUUGUAGGAAAUAACAAUCUUAUCAUGGGGUCUUGUCACAUCGCCCAUGACUGCAGUAUAGGCAAUGGUAACAUAUUUGCUAACAGUACACUUCUAGCUGGCCAUGUUAUUGUGGAAGACUAUAGCCACACUGCUGGAGCUAUUGUUGUUCAUCAGUUUUGUCACAUUGGUUCAUUUUCUUUCAUCGGUGGCGGCUCUGUGGUUUCGCAAGAUGUCCCCAAGUUUGCAAUGGUGACUGGAGAAAGAGCUGAGCUCCGUGGUCUAAAUUUGGAAGGUCUUCGGCGACAUGGAUUCACGGCCACAGAGAUUAGAAGUCUCAGAACAGCUUACAGAAAGAUAUUCAUGCCUGUCACUACUAAUUCUGUGGGUUUUGAAGAGCGUCUUGCUGAAGUGGAGAAGAAUGCAGAAUUGCAUAAGAUUCCUGUUGUAUGUUCCAUGGUGCAGUCCCUACGUGAUUCUUUUGCAGAAAAUCGCCGUGGAAUAUGCAAGUUCAGACAUUGGAGUGGCUCUUGAAGAUAUUCUAUUAUCAGCAUUGUAUUUUAGGGUGGUGUAGACUGUAGACUAAUAUUUUAUUGUCAGAGGCAUUCCAAAUGGCAUCGGAUUGAGAUAAUCAUUAUUAAGAAGAGUUGGAAAUUUGUAAAAAGGGAACAAAUUAUUUUGUUUUUAAAUUUUGCGCUAUGCAGAAGCUGCCGGAUGUAAAAUAUUUGUGUGGAAUGAGCAGAGGAAUUGAUGUAUUAUUCAAAGAAAACGUGUUUAGGGAAAAUACAGGCUAAAAGAGCCUAUCAGAACAGUUGCAGCACAUGGAUUAUUGAUAUCUUACAGAAUUUAUAAUGCUGAGAACUAUUAUACAUACAUAUAAAAUCUAAACUUUAUUUGAUGGGGCCAUCUUUUUUUGUUUUCAACAUCUGAUCCCACCUGUUUAAUCAGUUGAAACAUGUGUUCCAUUUCUGGUACCACUUGAUGUCUUAUACCCCAUUUCACUUUCAAAAACAAACAAGAAACUAAUAUUCAAUCA